AUACGGAGGGUGCAAGCGUUACUCGGAAUCACUGGGCGUCAAGCGCGCGCAGGCGGCUAUUUAAGUUGGAUGUGAAAGCCUACGGCUCAACCGUAGAACUGCAUCCAAAACUAUUUAGCUAGAGUGUGGGAGAGGAAGAUGGAAUUAGUUGUGUAGGGGUAAAAUCCGUAGAGAUAACUAGGAAUACCAAAAGCGAAGGCAAUCUUCUGGAACACUACUGACGCUGAGGCGCGAAAGCGUGGGGAGCAAACGGGAUUAGAAACCCUAGUAGUCC
rnacentral:rRNA from 1 species